GACGAACGCUGGCGGCGUGCUUAACACAUGCCAGUCGAACGCUGAAGACCUGGCUUUUGUUGGGUUGGAUGAGUGGCGAACGGGUGAGUAACACGUGAGUAACCUGCCCUCUUCUUUGGGAUAACGCCCGGAAACGGGUGCUAAUACUGGAUAUUCACUGAUCUUCGCAUGGGGGUUGGUGGAAAGGUUUGUUCUUGUGGGGGAUGGGCUCGCGGCCUAUCAGCUUGUUGGUGGGGUGAUUGCCUACCAAGGCUUUGACGGGUAGCCGGCCUGAGAGGGUGACCGGUGACAUUGGGACUGAGAUACGGCCCAGACGCCUACGGGAGGCAGCAGUGGGGAAUAUUGCGCAAUGGGCGAAAGGCUGAUGCAGCGACGCCGCGUGAGGGAUGGAGGCCUUCGGGUUGUAAACCUCUUUCGCUCAUGGUCAAGCCGCAACUGUGGGUUGUGGUGAGGGUAGUGGGUAAAGAAGCGCCGGCUAACUACGUG
rnacentral:rRNA from 1 species